rnacentral:rRNA from 1 species
CCUACGGGUGGCAGCAGUGAGGAAUAUUGGUCAAUGGACGAGAGUCUGAACCAGCCAAGUAGCGUGAAGGAUGACUGCCCUAUGGGUUGUAAACUUCUUUUAUAUGGGAAUAAAACAGGGUAUGCAUACCCUCUUGUAUGUACCAUAUGAAUAAGGAUCGGCUAACUCCGUGCCAGCAGCCGCGGUAAUACGGAGGAUCCGAGCGUUAUCCGGAUUUAUUGGGUUUAAAGGGAGCGUAGGUGGAUUGUUAAGUCAGUUGUGAAAGUUUGCGGCAAAACCGUAAAAUUGCAUUUGAAACUGGAAGUCUGGAGGAUGGGAGGGGUGGGGGGAAUCCGUGGGGUAGGGGUAAA